GAAUGAUUGACAUGUCACCAGAGUGCCGUCUACAGUGGAGAAAACUACAGCUUGUCGCCGAGUCACUGUGAUUAUUACAAAACACAGAAAAUGUCAUUUGCUUCCGUUGAUUCUGCUUUAAAAAACGUUUAGACGAUCAAAGGAUGUAUAUUUACCGGUAAUUUACGCCUUGAAGCCUUUCUAGUCGAGCUGAUAAUGCUUAAAAUGAAGCUGCCCAUGAGAACGGCGGAGGCAGGAGGAGACGAUACGGCCGAGGAACAGCCCGAUCUCCAUAUUCCAAGAUCGGUCUCCGACAAGCCCGAAGGUUCCUCCAGACACCCAGGAUAUCCAUCUCAAUUGGAUAAAGAGACCGUUUUCGAGUGGUUUGGUUUGCAUUUAAAUCCUGCCAAGCGGAUCGAGUUUAUGUGCGGACUGCUCCAUAUGUGCCAGCCACUUGAGCUCCGGUUUUUGGGCUCCUGUCUGGAAGACCUGGCUCGGAAAGAUAACCACGUUCUACGGGAUGUCGAGAUAAGGGCCAACAAUCCGAAUGAUUUGACCAUUUUAUCAGAUGUUAUCGACCCUGUCGUGCGCUCCAAGCUGCUGGUCUGCUUGUCUCUUCUGGGAUCUGACAGCAGGGAGUGUGCGGGAAUACUAUUUCGGAUAUUGAGCCAUGUGGAUCCCUCCUUGUUAUACAAAAACUAUGGCUACUCUGUUUCGCCCUUCAAGGACUCUCAACAUCACCCGUUCCAUUCUCCGUGUGUGGACGGGAAAGCGUUCGGGAGAACAGAACAGAAUUGCGGGCUUCCAAUGGAGGCAGCGAUCGGACCCUUGGAACAGUUGGCGCUGCUUUUUACUAUGGCCUCCUUGCAUCCAGCGUUCCCGUUUCAUCAGAGAGAAAAAGUUAUAGAACAGCUGGACAAAAUUCAACUUGCUAUAGAGGACGAGAGACAGCAGAAUCAGCGCAGAAUAAACGCCCAGCACAACAAGGCCCAGAAAGCAGAGGAGCAUGGCCCAGCAGCAGUCACCAUCGAGGCCAGUCUGGGUGAGAGGACGCAGGCACAGGGACCGGCUCACCACGCCAGCCAGACACCCCCCAGCAGAAGGGCCCAAAGGGAAGCCGUGCAUGUAGAGAAGAUCGUGUUGAAGGGGAUCUCACGGAGGAGGUCAGACAGGGAAUACAAUUUUGUGGUAACCUGGUCCGACUCCUCAUCCAGCAAUGUCACCAAAACACAUCUUGAACUGGAAAGCUUCUUGCUGAAGCAGCUUCCGAAGGAGCAAUCCACCGAGUCGUUUGAAAAGGGCAUCCUCCGGCUACUCAACCAGGGAGACCAGUACGAGAUCAGGGAAGUGGAGGGGAACCUCAAGGAGAAGUUUCUGUCGGCUCCACAAGCUUUCCGACAGACAAGCAAGGUCUGUGGUUUCUUCCUGUGUGAGUCCUCCUCCUCCAGCCCCAGCUGCAGCAGAUUUAACCCUGUGGCCCUAGGGAAGCCAUACAAAGAGGACUGCUCAGAGGCAUCAAGCCAGGAGGAAGGUGUGUAUUUGGAGCCGUACGUUCAGGGGCACCGGAAGAAACAUGGCAGCAAGAGCCCCAGCCUUAACAUUCCCAAUGCCAAAAGUUCCCAGGGGGAGAGCAGUCGGAGGGGGCCCCACGGCUUGGAGCACAACGGCCUGCCAGACUGGAGGAGGAAGAGCUGUACGCUCAAACCCAACCAAGACACCUCUGGGGGGCUGGGCCCAGAGCAGCAUCAGGACAGUGAGAAGAGGAGCAGCCACCCUGCCACCAAGAGCAAGCCACGAGCACUGGGACCAGACAGGGAAAAGGGGAAGAAAGGAGAAGGAAGAGCUGCCUACUUGACGAACGGGAGCAUAGUGCGUCCGGCUUCUCAGCGAACGCGACAAUCGACAGGGAAAGGUUGUGUGUGUCCAGACGGUCGUCUAGUCGGAGGCUCCAGUCAGGACGUGUACGGAGACACCUCGUCGGAGAGCUACAGCUCCCCCUCCAGCCCCCAGCACGAUGGACCAGAGAGCCUGGACAGCGAGGACGAGAAGGACAAAGAUACAGAUAGUCACUCAGACGACUCCAGCAGCCAGGGUAGAGCGGACGCCUUCUUCUCCUGCCAGGAGGUUGCAGGGGGAGGCUUGCCCACCAUCCAUCCCCUGGCCUCUGCCAAGCCUGCUGGGGAGCCCCUCUGCCCCGAGACCAUCCCCAACUUUCCCCCCAUCACCUUUAUGCAACCCCUGCCCUACAUACUGCCCAACGGAGCACUGCCCGCCGAUGCCUCUCUGCCAGUCCUGCCUCCUCAGGUGGCAGCGGCCCUGGUAGACAACAAGGUUGUGGGAGGACUGAUCAUGCAGGUGCCCUUGGUCCUCCGAGAGCCCAUGCCCACCCCAGUGCCCACUCCUGUGCCAGGGGACACAGAGAAGAGGGAUGCCCUUGCUGCAGUGCCCGUGGUGCUUCCAGGGUUUGGCUCCCCCACCCUGGGCUUACACCCCCCUGGCAGCCCUGCCCUGCAGCCCCUGAUCCAGCGCUUCAAAACGGCCCCUCAUAAGGCAACUGUCACUUCCGAGGGUGUCACCGCCUCCUCUGCCCACCACCCCCCGGUUGGAGCCAUCAGCGUCAUCGCCCCCGGCCCACCCUACGCCUCACCCCUGCAGCCAGCCUACCCCGACCCUGCCGCCAACCCCCUAACCCCUUCUGUACCCCUAGGGGAGCCUAGCAUCCCUCACGCCAAGCACCCGGGCAUGGCUCUUCCCUCAGGCCUGCCCUCUCCAUACACCAUGCCCCCCAUCCCCACCUCCAUCAUGGCAACGCUGGGGGCAGGGGUAGCCGGAGUAGGGGUAGUGCCCACAGCUGGACAGGUUCAGGCGGUGGUGCCCCCAUCCGUGCCCACCCACAACCCCGGUCCUGUGCCCAGCCCCAGCCCUGCCCUUACCCAUAGCACGGCACAGAGCGACUCCACCUCCUACAUCAACAGCACCAGCUGUGCCAGUAACCUCGUCGCGCAACCACAACAGCAGCAACAACAGCAGCAGGCGACUCCCCAGCAACAGCCCAUGUGCUGCGGGGCGUGCGGUUGCCGGGGAGGCUGCGGCACCAGCAACAACAGCCACACAGCGCCUUCAUUCUUCUUCCCCCACCAGAUGCCGCCGCGGCAGGUGUUCGGUGUGCCGCCCAUCUUCCAGCUGACGUCCCUGUGCAACAGCAGCUACCUCAGCCAGCCUCCCCCCCAGAGCAACGGCCAGGCCCAGCUACCCUUCUUCCCAUCCGCCCCGGCCCCCUACGCCAGCCAGACCCUGCUGCACACGCACCCCCACUCCCACACUGACCACCUACUGGGCACACAGCAAGGCUACAGCCUCCAGCAGAUGGCACCCUACAACCGCUUCUACCCGCACAUGUACCCCUCCAGUGUGGGCAUGGUGCCCGGGGGCGGGAGGCGGAGGUGCACUGGGGGUAGCAGUCGGCGUCAACAAGAAGAACGCCAACGUCUCGUGCUACAACUGUGGGGUCAGUGGCCACUACGCACAGGACUGCAUACAGCCCUCCAUUGACUCGACACAGCAAGGUAAUAACGCCACCGCCAGGGGCAGGGUGGAGCGGGGAGGGGCGGCCGCUGGCCUCUUCGGACGGCCCCCUCCGCCCCCCCUGCAGCACUUCCCCCCCCAAGUAGAGGUCAGCCCUCAGGACUGACCCCACCCCUCUCGAUUUCUCUCUUACACAACAGUACCCUACACCCACCCACACAGAGGGCACCCUUGAUCAAGCUUGGGAAGGCACACCUUUGCAGUAACCCUCCCCACCCCCUACCCUCCAAAAACAGACUAUUAGCCACCUUCAUUUCCAUUUUCAGGACUUAUUUAGAGCCAGGAGCUGCUGUAAAGGGCUCUCUCAUCUCAGGAGACCUGUGGACAUUUCUCUCAAACUCUCUGUUAGCAGGGCAAAGACAAAACACAGCAGAACAGUUAAAAAUGAAAAACGCAGACCAAAUGACAUGACACACAUGUCACGCAGAGGAUACGAUUAGGUGCAGGUGGCUUUCGGCUGAAGUACGCCGCCUCCCACUCUUCCGAAGCACUAGACAACGCCGACUGAAGAAGUCUUCUCGUUCCUCCAUCUUGUUUGUCAUGAGCGGUCAAAGAGACCCCUCCAUUUCAAGAGAGCAUCAUUCGAUGUUUCCCUGUCAUUAACCAGGUUUCCAUCCAACUUUUUUAUGCGAGUAAAGUACAUGUCGGAUAAAAAAUUUAAUGACAGGCCUGAUGGCAACAGAAAAUGUGUCGGUAAACUUUCCAAAUGUCGACAAAACAAAAUACGCUAGACGAGGUGGGAUCUUUUUGUGGCGGUAAAAUGCAAUGGAAACGCCUUUAUGUGCAAAUAUUGAUAUAAUAACCGUCAUAUUGAAGUAAACUUGGAGUCACGCUAUGAUAUGGUGUGGUCCUUCCACUAUGACUCGGGGAAACCAUGCAGUUUAUUAGGCUACAGAUGAAAUCAUUUACAUUGAACUUCACAGGGUGGUGAAAGUGCACGGUGAUCUUGAUGCUCCUUUCCAAUAAAUGUCAAGGGUCAGAUUCUGUCGACAUGAAUAUCGAUGCUUGACCGCCGUUUAACAAAUUAAAAAGAUUCUCGCUCUUAUCCGUAAUAAUCUCUUCAUGUAGACUAGCCUACCGGCACUGUAUCUGCGAGCUGUUGGCUAGAGCGCACGUGCCAAGACCGGAGUAGUCACAUUUUCUAUUUAACGCAACAGUUUGUGACAAAACUAUCAGUAGAGUUGAAAACACGAUGGAAACGCAUUGAACUUUAGAUUUAUAUUUGGUACAUGACAACUUAAGGGAAAAAGUUCAUUUUGUGUGUACUGCGUCAUCAUGCACUGAUGUGGAGAAACACUUCUGGUGGGAAAAUGUGCAUAUUUUCUUUAUGCAGAUUUUUGAAUAUUCGCUUGAAUAUAUGUCGACAAUUUGAUUGAAAAUUUAGCUAUUCUCAUUUUCAGUUUGACCUUUUUAACGAGCGCGUGCGAAGAGGGUCCUAAGUACUUGUGCCUGAGACAUCACCAACGUCCCCAUCACAGCUGAGGGUGAAGCUGUCUUGUUUCCAGAGAUGCAUCCCCCCCCCCCCCUUCACCAAUCCCCGAGAGUGGCUUUUGGUAUUUUGCACUGAAGACUGGCACAAGACAGCAGCUCAUGUUUACUAACUUAUUUCUUAUAUUAUUAGAAAACAUUUUUAAAAAGACACCGUGUGUAUGGGAGCUUCGUAAAAUGAUUUUGUUCUCAGAAUAGAUGGGGGUCCUGCGUGAUCUCGAUUAAAGAGUUUCAUAUACUUUGUUUUUUUAUAACGGUAUAUUUAUACCUCCUUAUUAUUGUUAUUCGACUAGGAUUUUUAUUGUUUAACUGUACAGCUACAAAAGAUGAAUGCAAACCAACAAAAAAAGUCAAUGUAAAAAAAAUAAAUAUAUAUAAUUUCUCUUUUUCGCUGCAGUGUUUUUGAAUGUACAUGUUUAAUUUCUUAAUGUUAAGGAAUCUGGCAGUAUCGGGGGGGAAAUUCUUAAAGCAUUUGCCACUUGAUAUAAUGUGAAAUGCAUAGUAAGACGUUCUUAAUCAUCAUGUCUGUCAUGUAGAAGUGAAAUGCUGCUGUGUUUUUUAUUUUUGGUAACAUGCACUAUAGCUACCAGGAAUUCUGAAGUCUCUCAAGUGCACUGAAACAGUCCUAAAUCAAACCUAGAGACAGAUGUUAUUGCAGCAGUGACGCUCUAUACCUUGCUACACUGCUGUCCCUCCAUCCAGUAUUCUCUUGGAAAUGUUGCACUGCAGAGUCAAGCCACAAGGUGGUGCCAUGUGAAGCAUCAGUGGUUAGGAGGGAUAAUACUGUCAUUGAUAACUCUGAAAAUAACUUUUUUUCUUUAGCCAUUUCUACAAGACUGGUGGCAAAGGCAGAUGUCAUGUAGCCUACCUAGACAGUCAAUAUGUUUAUUCUUCCUUCAAUGCAGCAGUGAGAUCUAACUGUAAGGCAUAUUGUUUGUACAUUGGUAAAUGUACUCAAAUCGACGCACAUACACACUAUAAAUUGAUGUUUUCAUGUGAAGUAUGAAAAUGAAAAGUGUGAACACUAAUGGAAGUGUCUGACUGGAGUUUAUUGGAUAUCAGGAUUGGUAGCCUUCCAGGGAUUGACAUUAAGGGUUGCCAUAUUGCCUGGGGAAAGUGAACUGAUCAGUCCAGCUAGUUGAGCCUGCUCUGAGGUUGCCCCAUAGGGCUGGUUAUUUGUGUUGUGUGUGUGAAAACAACCAAACUGCAAAGAAUUCCAGUAGCCUAAAUCUGAUCUUUCCAUUUCCUCCCCAUUGUCUGUCUUUCACUUAUUAAACAAUGUAUUUCUGUUGGGCAAGUUGAGCAUUCUCUGAGAAUUUUUUUUUACUGAUGUACGAAAUAGAAUAAUUAUUCCAAAAUAGAAAGAAUUCAAUCCAUCUUUCUGAUUCCUAUGUGUAGGUGAAAGGCAGGCAAUAUGUGGCACUUACUUACUGCCUGUAAAUAGAUCAUUUACAUUUUCGGGCAAGUGAUCAUAAUCUUUGGGCAACCAAAAAAUACUCCUGACUUGCCCGAUGGGCAAGUGCGUUUCAGGCUUCAAUGUCAAUCCCUGGCCUUCUCAGACAGCAUAUCCCUUGAGAUAAUUGUCAAUCAUUUAGAGCUCUUUCGUGUCUGUUUAAGCUUUGUGGUCUACACAUUAAAAUUACGUAUAGGCAUAUUACACUUACAGUACACACUUGUUUGUUUAUAUGAGAAGUUAUGUCCAUUUUUAUGAAAAGUCACACUUAGUACUGUUUGUCUCCAAACAUUUUGUGAAAGCUUUCCACCAACCGGUGAAGUACUCUAAAUCUCUUCUGCUUGAUUUGAUGUAAGCAGAGAUUUCUUACAAUUACUUAAAAUAUUGAGGCAAACUUGGACAUGAACACAGGAAAGAAAAUGUGUGGACCACUUUACAUUAAUCGGCUGGAUGAUAUGAAGAACCAUGUGAGCUCGGAGGACAAUUGUACAUAUGAACCUGCCAGUUGUACAUGUUGAACAUAUAUGGUUAAAAAUGCUGUACUGUAGAGGGUACACUCACUGUUACCUUAAGGUGUAUGUUUACUGUAUUCUUUGAUAUCUACAUUUUAGUGUACUGGAAAGGUCAAAUAUAUUUCUAGAACGAAUUUGGAUUUUAUGCAAAUUGUUGAUCUGUUUUCCUGGAAUUAACAGCAAUAAAUACAAAAUGCCCCAA